GACGAACGCUGGCGGCGUGCUUAACACAUGCAAGUCGAACGGUGAAGCGCCUUCCUUUUUGGUGGGUGUGGAUGAGUGGCGAACUGGUUAGUAACACGUUAGUAACCUGCCCCCUUCUUCUGGAUAACCGCAUGAAAGUGUUGCUAAUACGGGAUAUUCUGUUUCUGUCGCAUGAUGGGUCUGUGAAAGAUUUUGUUUCUGUUGUGGAUGGGCUCGCGGCCUAUCAGCUUGUUGGUGGGGUGAUGGCCUACCAAGGCGGUGAGGGGUAGCCGGCCUGAGAGGGUGGACGGUAACACAGGGACUGAGACACGGAGAAGACUACGAGGGGAGGCAGCAGUGAGGAAUAGUGCACAAUGGGAGGAAGGAUGAAGCAGCGACGCGGGGUGAGGGAUGGAGGGCUUAGGGUUGUGAACCUCUAUCGGGAGAGAAGAAGGGGUGAAUCGUUUGUGGGUGGGUUGACGGUAGCUGGAUAAGAAGCGCCGGCUAACUACGUG
rnacentral:rRNA from 1 species